rnacentral:rRNA from 1 species
UUUCGCAAUGCCCGAAAGGGUGACGAUGCGACGCCGCGUGGGGGAUGAAGGCCUUCGGGUUGUAAACUCCUGUCAGGGCAAAAGAAGGGGAGGGGAGGAAACUCCCUGACCUUGACUCAGCCCAAAGGAAGCCCCGGCUAACUCCGUGCCAGCAGCAGCGGUAAGACGGAGAGGGCGAGCGUUGUUCUGAAUUACUGGGCGUAAAGAGCGCGUAGGCGGGUCCGUAUGUCAGGGGUGAAAGCCCCCGGCCUAACCGGGGAACUGCCUCUGAAACUGCGGUCCUCGAGUGGAGCAGGGGGGAGUGGAACUCUCGGUGGAGCGGUGAAAUGCGUUGAUAUCGAGGGGAACGUCGGCGGCGAAGGCGACUCCCUAUGCUUCUACUGACGCUGAGGUGCGAAAGCCAGGGGAGCGAACGGGAUUAGAUACCCCGGUAGUCCUGGCCUUAAACGGUGGGCACUAAGUAGAGGGGUUUUAAUCUC